GAUGAACGCUGGCGGCGUGCCUAAUACAUGCAAGUCGAGCGAACGGACGAGAAGCUUGCUUCUCUGAUGUUAGCGGCGGACGGGUGAGUAACACGUGGAUAACCUACCUAUAAGACUGGGAUAACUUCGGGAAACCGGAGCUAAUACCGGAUAAUAUUUUGAACCGCAUGGUUCAAUAGUGAAAGACGGUCUUGCUGUCACUUAUAGAUGGAUCCGCGCUGCAUUAGCUAGUUGGUAAGGUAACGGCUUACCAAGGCGACGAUGCAUAGCCGACCUGAGAGGGUGAUCGGCCACACUGGAACUGAGACACGGUCCAGACUCCUACGGGAGGCAGCAGUAGGGAAUCUUCCGCAAUGGGCGAAAGCCUGACGGAGCAACGCCGCGUGAGUGAUGAAGGUCUUCGGAUCGUAAAACUCUGUUAUUAGGGAAGAACAAAUGUGUAAGUAACUGUGCACAUCUUGACGGUACCUAAUCAGAAAGCCACGGCUAACUACGUG
rnacentral:rRNA from 1 species